GGGUUCGAUGCUCCACCCAAACGAAGGCAUUUGUAAUCAAAAGGAAAACAAGGCAGAGAGGUGUGGACAGCGCUUAACCUGGUCAUGUGUCUUACUUUGUUUUCUGUGGCUGGAACGGAAUACCACAGUUUAAGUCAGAAAGCUUGUUGGUCUUUCCGCUCUGGUAGCCGGGAAGUUCAAGAUGGAGCAGCCACAUCUAAUGAGGCCCUUCCUGCUAGUGUUGACGCUGCAGAGUCCAAGGCCAUUCAGGGCAUCACAUGUGCAGCGCUCCUCAGCUUCCCCACCUAUGGCUCAAGCAGGUUCUGGUGUAGCUCUUGCAACUGUUCUAAAGGACACAGAAGCGAGCUUUGGCAGAGUCCGUGUGGCGCGAACUCUGCAGAUCUGCUUACUGUGAUGUGAUGGCAUCCGCUUAGAUUUCAAAGAAUGUCACAGCCAGCCUGGAGUCCCAGGUAGAGAGACCUGUCAC
rnacentral:lncRNA from 1 species